rnacentral:rRNA from 1 species
UGGGGAAUAUUGCACAAUGGGCGCAAGCCUGAUGCAGCCAUGCCGCGUGUGUGAAGAAGGCCUUCGGGUUGUAAAGCACUUUCAGCGGGGAGGAAGGCGUUAAGGUUAAUAACCUUGGCGAUUGACGUUACCCGCAGAAGAAGCACCGGCUAACUCCGUGCCAGCAGCCGCGGUAAUACGGAGGGUGCAAGCGUUAAUCGGAAUCACUGGGCGUAAAGCGCACGCAGGCGGUCUGUCAAGUCGGAUGUGAAAUCCCAGGGCUCAACCUGGGAACUGCAUUCGAAACUGGCAGGCUAGAGUCUUGUAGAGGGGGGUAGAAUUCCAAGUGUAGCAGUGAAAUGCGUAGAGAUCUGGAGGAAUACCGGUGGCGAAGGCGGCCCCCUGGACAAAGACUGACGCUCAGGUGCGAAAGCGUGGGGAGCAAACAGG